CUUCUUCUUAGGGGUGGGCAAAAAAUCCACAUUUUGGAUUUUAAACCAAAUCCAAACCAAACCAUUUAAAAAAAAACUAGUUUUAAAUAAAAAAAAAAUCCAAACCAAACUAUAUUUAUUUUACAAUUUGGUUUUUGAUCCAAUCUAUUUAAAUGGUUUUAAAUCCGUAUCCAGAUCCAGAUCCAAAUUAAAAUCCACAUCCAAAAAAACCCUAAUUUUGAGUCUUCUCCUCUUCUCCUCUUCGACAAAUCCUCUUCGACAAAACCAAAUCUACUCUUCGCCACCGUCAACAUUUCUUCUUCUCUGCCUCUCGUCGGAGCUCGCCGGUGGUUCGUCGGCAUCUACCUCUUCGAGUCUUCAGUCUUCACUUUGAUUCGAGACUCUGUCUCUCUGCCUCGACCUCCCAUUCGCGACUCUGUCUUCUCUCUUUUUUGGUUCUCUUCUUCUUUCGUUGGUGGCUCGCCAGAGCUCAUGCUCAUCAAUUGAGAUUUUAAAAUCUCUUAGUAUUGAACAUUUGAACUCUCCAUUUCAAUGGAUCCUGCUGCACUGUGGAAUUGGCUUUUGCUGGUGUUUCCAUGACCAUCUUUAACAUCAUAUCAAAGCUUUUCAAUAUUCCCCUUCUAAGUGUUGCUACAUCUUUUGUUGCUGAGGACAUAGCCAAAACUGCUGCCAAAGAAUAUCUUUCGGAGCACAGUGGUAUACAAAAUAUUGGCAAUGGUAAAUCCUUCGAAAGAGGCAAUCGAAAAAAGCAAUUUUUCUCUGUCUCCACUGCUUUGCUAUUAGCACUUGGGAUUGGAAUUUUUGAGGCUUUAGCUCCUGCUGUUGUACUUUCUUUGGCUUUACAAGGCAUUUUCCAUGGUUUUAAGGAUACAAAAACUCCUGUUCUAUGCCUAGGCAAGUGCUUGGUUUAAAUUCUGUUUCUUUGCUACAUUCAUCUUUUGAAUGGUUUUUGUAUUAUUUUCUUUAUUUAUUUUUAUAUAUUUUGUAUGUGCUUUGACACCUUGCUCUGCUAUCUAGUGCUUCAAAAUUAAUGUUUUCUUAUCCCUUUGAAUGGUUCAUGAAUAAAUUGUUAUUAUUAAUUUAUUACUGAAAAUAAAUUGUUGAUCAUUGCAGCCAUACUAUACAUUGUAAUAAUAUGCUUCAAUAUAAUUUAGUAAAUUUUAUAUAUAGAAAUCAAU